UUAAAAAGCUCGUAGUUGGAUUUCUGGCGCUCAUCUCCGUUGUUGUCGUUUUGUGCGAGUGUCAUCAUUUCGGUGGUGUUUGUGUAGUUCGAAUUGUACGACGUGAGUUGUUGGGUGUCAUCCUUGUGGCAUAAUCGUACAGUCAUUAAGUUGAUUGUUUUCGAGGAGCCCAUCGUUUACUGUGAAUAAAUUAGAGUGUUCAAAGCAGGCUUAGGCUGUGAAUACAUUAGCAUGGAAUAAUAAUAUAGGACUUUGGUUCUGUGUUGUUGGUUGGAGGCCAAGGUAAUGAUUAAUAGGGAUAGUUGGGGGUAUUCAUAUUUCAUUGUCAGAGGUGAAAUUCUUGGAUUUAUGAAAGAUGACCGUAUGCGAAAGCAUUUACCAAGGAUGUUUUCAUUAAUCAAGAACGAAAGUUAGGGGAUCGAAGAGGAUUAGAUACCCUCGGUAGUCUUAACCAUAAACUAUGCCGACUCGGGAUUGGA
rnacentral:rRNA from 1 species